GAUGAACGCUGGCGGCGUGCCUAAUACAUGCAAGUCGAGCGAACGGACGAGAAGCUUGCUUCUCUGAUGUUAGCGGCGGACGGGUGAGUAACACGUGGAUAACCUACCUAUAAGACUGGGAUAACUUCGGGAAACCGGAGCUAAUACCGGAUAAUAUUUUGAACCGCAUGGUUCAAAAGUGAAAGACGGUCUUGCUGUCACUUAUAGAUGGAUCCGCGCUGCAUUAGCUAGUUGGUAAGGUAACGGCUUACCAAGGCAACGAUGCAUAGCCGACCUGAGAGGGGGAUCCGCCACACUGGAACUGAGACACGGUCCAGGCUCCUACGGGAGGCAGCAGUAGGGAAGCUGCCGGAAGGGGCGAAAGCCUGACGGAGCAACGCCGCGUGAGUGAUGAAGGUCUUCGGAUCGUAAAACGCUGUUAUUAGGGAAGAACAUAUGUGUAAGUAACUGUGCACAUCUUGACGGUACCGAAUCAGAAAGCCACGGCUAACUACGG
rnacentral:rRNA from 1 species